rnacentral:rRNA from 1 species
UUUAAAUGAAGACCAGAACAAAAGAUUAAACGUUUAAAUUCAUAUCUAUAUUUAAAUUUAUCCAAUUUAUCUUAAAUGUAAAAAGACAUUUAUAAAAAAGAAAGACGACAAGACCCUAUUGAACUUAACUUAAGUUAAACUGGGGCAGUUAAUUAAUAAUAAUUUUAAUUUUAAAACUGAACAAAAUGAUCCAAUAUAAUUGAAAUGAUCAAGUUACCAUAGGGAUAACAGCGUAAUAAUUUUCUAAAGUUCUUAUAAAAACAAUAGUUUGCGACCUCGAUGUUGAAUUAAUUACCUAAUUUAGAGCAAAAGCUAAUUAAGGAAGUCUGUUCGACUUUUAAAAAAUUACAUGAUUUGAGUUCAGACCGGUAUAAGCCAGGUCGGUUUCUAUCUUCUAUUUAAUUCUUGCAGUACGAAAGGGCCCAAGAAACUAA